rnacentral:tRNA from 2 species
CGGGGUGUAGCGCAGUUUGGUAGCGCGCCUGCUUUGGGAGCAGGAUGUCGGGGGUUCAAAUCCCUCCACCCCGACCA